GGACCUGACUGCUAUCGGAUUGAUACUAAGCCAUGUGAGUCUUUGUAGCAAUACAAGGCAGACGGCUCAGUAACGCGUAGCCAACCUACCCUAUGGACAGGGAUAACCUCGGGAAACUGAGGAUAAUACCUGAUAGAUCAUAAUGCCUGGAACGGUUUAUGGUCCAAAUGAUUCGUCGCCGUAGGAUGGGACUGCGGCCUAUCAGCUUGUUGGUGAGGUAAUGGCCCACCAAGGCUAUUACAGGUACGGGCUCUGAGAGGAGAAGCCCGGAGAUGGGUACUGAGACACGGACCCAGGCCCUAUGGGGCGCAGCAGGCGAGAAAACUUUGCAAUGUGCGAAAGCACGACAAGGUUAAUCCGAGUGAUUCCUGCUAAAGGAAUCUUUUGUUAGUCGUAAAACCACUGAUGAAUAAGGGGUGGGCAAGUUCUGGUGU
rnacentral:rRNA from 1 species